rnacentral:rRNA from 1 species
CCCUUAGAUGUCCUGGGCCGCACGCGCGCUACACUGACGAAUGCAACGAGCUUAUAACCUUGGCCGAAAGGUCUGGGUAAUCUCCAAAUUUCGUCGUGAUGGGGAUAGAUUAUUGCAAUUAUUAAUCUUCAACGAGGAAUGCCUAGUAAGCGCAAGUCAUCAGCUUGCGUUGAUUACGUCCCUGCCCUUUGUACACACCGCCCGUCGCUCCUACCGAUUGAAUGGUCCGGUGAAGCGUUCGGACCGUGGCCUUUGGACGGUUCGCCGUCUGUUGGCUGCGGGAAGUUCGUUAAACCUUAUCAUUUAGAGGAAGGAGAAGUCGUAACA